UACGUAGGGUGCGAGCGUUAAUCGGAAUUACUGGGCGUAAAGUGUGCGCAGGCGGCCGAGCAAGUCGGGUGUGAAAGCCCAGGGCUCAACCCUGGAAAUGCGCCCGAAACUGUCGAGCUUGAGUGCGGGAGAGGGAAGCGGAAUUCCUGGUGUAGAGGUGAAAUUCGUAGAUAUCAGGAGGAACACCGGUGGCGAAAGCGGCUUCCUGGCCCGAUACUGACGCUCAUGUACGAAAGCGUGGGGAGCAAACAGG
rnacentral:rRNA from 1 species